AAUAUUAUCAUUUACCUGCGUUUAUGUCUUUGAGCAUGUUAUCUGAGUAGUGACAUAGAGUUCUUAAGGAUGGGAUAGAGUAGUUGUGGAAUCCAUAGUCUGUAGAAUGGUUAAGUUUUAGAAUUGAUUGAAUCCCUUCAGGACUACUUGUGUUUACUGCUUAUUUCUUUCUGAUCAACUGGAAUUCGAUCCCAAGCAUUCCCGCACCCAGAAGGUGUUCGAUGGAAUGCUUGAUCCACUAGUUCCUGAAAUAUUCGUCUCUAUCCCAAGGGAUUGACCGUUUAGAGCGUUUAUUGACUUUAUCAGUCUGUUCUUAUUGCCUGCAUAGUUAGAUUCUGUUAAUGGGAAUUAGUCUGGGCUAGCUUUGCUUGAGGAUUUCUAUCACGGGAGUGAAUUGAUCUGUUGUUGAACCUGUUGUUUAGGGAUAGCUUGAUUGCGCUUGUUAACCAUUCGAAUAGGCUAGGAUACCACUCUAUUCGAUUACCCCAUCCUUUGGAAUUUCUCGUCUAUCUGAUUUCUCUGUUUUAUCAUUAUCGCUUAAUCGUUCUCAUUGCAUGUUUCUUAGUUUUUGCAAUUACUCGACCAACUUACUCGACCACACCCAGUGUCUGGCAACAGACUGUGCAAUCGAGUAUAGUUGUCUUGUUUCCUGUCUAUUACUCGACCAGUACACUCGACCACACCCAGUGUCUGGCAACAGACUAUGCAGUUGAGUAUAGCUGGUUCAUAUCCUGUCUGUUACUCGACCUGUUACUCGACCACAUCCUACUUCUGCCAUCAGCCUGUUGUGGUCGAGUGAUUUUAGUAAUUCAUUUAUUGUUUCUGUUUUCUGCAUGUUCGCUUAGGACUGUUAGGAACCCCAACACUGUUAUUGCUUGGCUUGACUUAGUGACUUCUGAUCACAUCUCAUCUAUUUGCAUCACACCCAUUUGGAUUGACACCCUAAGUACUACAACGACAUGAUAGUGCUAUAGGAUUAAUUGAU
rnacentral:sRNA from 1 species